UUCGUCAAAUUACAACAAAACUUCACAAUUUAUAAUCAGGAACAUCUCGGCAUCAUGUAUACCAACUUUGACAUGAAUCGGAUCAACCGCCCAUACAGAAAAAUCAAGGGAAAAAAUAUAUUCACAUAUAUAUGCAGCUACAUCCAGCUUGUAUUUAAACAGAUGGCUACAAUAUAUUUAAUACAUAUAUAGUACAAAAAUGUAUAUAUGCAAGUAUAUGUGGGACCCAGCAAUGUAACAUAUAUGUGGAUAUUUUACAUGAACAUAUAUGGUGAAUAUAUUCAAUUAACUUAUUUGCACUCAGGCAGUGAUGGGUGGGGUCAGAGCCCGUCCCUUAUUAGACAUUCUCUGGUGGGGUUUACAAAAAAGGCUAACUUCAAAAUACGUCACUACCAACGUACUCUAAGGUCGUUGGAAUAACUGUUAAAAUGUUUGCAGCUUUUUCACUAGUUCUACAUAAGCAUAACUAACAGCUACUACUAGUCCAAAUGUAAAACGUUUGCUCUGGUUAAGUGGAUUGGCGGGGAGUAUGAGGGCAAAACCAGCAUUUUGCCGACUGACUGCAUUAGUAAACCUAACGUUAAUGAGGAAGACUUUUUCAACGGCUCAUAAAGUUAUGGGACAACAUCUUACUAUCAACUAUGUGGUGGAGGGGAGGAAGGCAGCCAAGAGGUAGUUGGCCGGUUUUCGAGGCCAUGGUGGUCAAAAUUGCUGAGAGGCAACACUCGAAAGCUACAUCAAGGACACCGGAGGAUGGACCCGAAGACCUGAGACCAAGACGACCCAAGCCCAACCCAUAGUAUGCUUCACUGACAAAUGUUGAUGCUUCAUCAUCACAUAGACCAAAGGUUUCAGAGAAGGCUGGUAGAGCUCUCUGAGUGUGAGCUGUGGGAGAUAACCAAGAACUGACAACCACCUACAGAAGAGGUGGCGAUAAUGGCUCUCCAAGAGGAGGUUGUGAGUCUGAAGGCUUUUAUUCAACAAGGAGGCACUUAGAGGGAAUGCCUGGACCCUGAGAGGACUAAGACGAUAAUUGAGGCCACCCUGAAGCAGUUCCCAGGCUAGACACUCACUCCAGAUUGCUGGGCCAGGCAAUAAAUGCCAAAGUGACAGAACUGAGGUUCCAUAACAAAAACAACAAGAUUUUCAAUAAAAUAGAAUAAAAGAUAA